UAAAGAUGCACAUGAGCACAUA
rnacentral:siRNA from 1 species